ACAUCCCCCAGGUCCUGGCUGGGGUGGAGGUGGAACCCUUGGAGCUCAGGGCACUGAGAUCAUCCCCAGGGUGCCCAGAGGCUCAGCAGGACGUGGAUCCCCUCCGGAGCCCCCGAGGGGACUCUGUGGCAGGAAUGUGCCCUGCUCCUGGCACAGGGACCCCCCUCACUCCCAGUGUCACACACGGGGCUCUGCUGGCUGCUCCCAGCCAUGGGCAGCCCCCGUGGGAUCCAAGGAGAUCCAAGGGGAGACAAAGCACGGAUCUGCCAGCAGGAGCAGCCCUGGAGCCGGGGGGGACGAGGUGGGAGCCCAGGGGAGAGCUCAGGGCUGCAGGUGGCCCUGGGCUUGGAGUGGUGGCCAGGAGCCACCAGUGAUCUCUGCUGGGGCUCUUCCUUCUGCUCCUCAGCUCCAGCCUGGAGCAAAGGAGGCUCAGGGGAAUUUCUGGCUCUGCACAAGUCCCUGGCAGGAGGGGACAGCCGGGGGGGAUUUGGGAUCUGCUCCCAGGAACAGGGACAGGAGGAGAGGGAACGGCCUCAGGGCAGCUCAGGGUGGAUUUUGGGAAUAUUCCUCCAUGGAAAGGAAUCUGGAAUUGCCCAGGGAGGUUGGGAAUUCCCAUCCCUGGAGGGUUCCAGAGCCCCUGGAUGUGGCACUCAGGGCUGGGGCAGUGCUGGCCCUGGCAGGGCUGGGGAUGGCUGGGAAGGUCUCAGAGAGCUUUUCCAAGCGCAGCAGUUCUGGGAUUGUGUGGCUGUGUCUCCCUGCCCGGGGCUGGGCUGGCUGCAGCAGCUGCUGGGGUUUGUUCCAGCUCUCCCUCUCCACAAGGUCCCUGCAGGAGCUGUCCCAGCCCCCGGUGACUCCAGCCUGGGGCUGGAGCACAGGAUCCAAACCAGAGAUCCCAUGGGUGGAGGCUCAUCCCAGGUGUGCCUGAUGGCACAUCCAGAGCCCAUCCCUGUCCAUCCCAGCCCAUCCCAGCCCAUCCCAUCCCAUCCCAUCCCUGUCCAUCCCAUCCCAUCCCACCCCAUCCCUGUCCAUCCCUGUCCAUCCCUGUCCAUCCCUGUCCAUCCCNNNNNNNNNNNNNNNNNNNNNNNNNNNNNNNNNNNNNNNNNN
rnacentral:lncRNA from 1 species